rnacentral:rRNA from 1 species
AUGUCUUCCUCCAGCUCAACUCUCUCCUCCGCUGGCCUAGACAACACCAUCUCAGAACCCCUGACUCGCACGAACUAUGUUCUGUGGCGAGCUCAAGCCCGAUCUCAGAUUAUAGGAGCGGGCCUCCUAGGAUACCUAGAUCAAACAAUCCCAGAACCACCAGCCACCAUCACCUCAAAGAACGCUGAAGGCAAAGAUCAGAUCGUUCCAAACCCAGCCUACUCCGCCUGGUUGAUCUAGGAUCAACAGCUUGUAGCCUAUCUCCUUCGCAAUCUCUCGAAAGAAGUUCUGGUGCAAGUCGCCUCCUUAGAAAAAUCCCACGCCAUCUGGACUGCUCUUGCAAACAUGUUUGCUGCCCAGUCCAGGUCGCGAGCCAACAACUGCCGCGCCGCCCUCUCCAAUGCCCAGAAGGGUUCUCAAUCCGCUGCUGCGUACUUUGGUCAGAUGCGUGCACUCGCAGAUGAACUUGCCAUGGCUGGAAAGCCUCUUCUCGAAGGAGAGCUAAUCUCCUUUCUCAUUGCUGGCUCUUGA